CACUGUGAAGCUAAUAAGCGUUAACCUUUUAAGUUAAAGAUUGAAAGUUAUAAGAACUAUCCACAGUGA
rnacentral:tRNA from 2 species